ensembl:lncRNA
AGAGAGCUGUCCUGUUAUCCAUGCAGGUGCAUAGCACCUCUUUCCCUUCCCGUAACAGCAUAGGCAGUCAAGCAUCUGCUGGAAUAACGCUGUCUCCUGUGCUGCUCUGUGCGGGGCUGGGUGAAGAAGCAUGCUCUUUCCCAUGAAGAUUGGAAGCUGGGGGAAAUGGCCAGAGUGCAGUCAUCCUGAGCACACGUCAAUGUCUGCUCUUCCUAAGAGCACUGAAUCUCAGUCAAAGCUCUCGAUGUGUAUAUAUAAGUUGCACAGGAUCUGUUGAAUUUGUUAACCUUUAAAUAUUAACAGAACCGGUGCUGCCAAAGCCUGAGUGUGAUCCAGUUGGAUUAAAGUGGAUUAAUGCUGGAAGAAGUGGAACUAUCACAAGCUGUGUGAGCCCUUUUGGCCUAAACCCACGUGUCCCUGGUGCAUCCUUGAGACAGAACCUCGGCUGGUGAAGGAGGAGCAAGGGAAUUGAAGAGCAAUUUAAGAACCAGUGAAGCAUAUGGCGGAUUGCAGUUUUCAGGUGCUGUAAGCUUCUUGGAAACACCAGAAAAAGCAAGAAGGUGUGAAAAGUUGGAUUUCACAAGUUCAGAUUUGUUGCUAGUUCUGCCUUUGGAGUCAGAUUGAUAAAGGUAAAAAGGUGCCUCUUAGAAUCUGGUGUGGCCCUCAGCAGAGGGUCUGUUGAAUGGCUCUCGCUGAGCUGAUGCAUGUGUUCUGAACGAUGUUUCAUUAAAUUCCUGCAAGAUGUUACAGUAGGCACUGCUGGCACUGUGAAAUCCUCUGCAAAGAGCCAUAGAUGGCACGAAUAACCUGCUUUAGAAAUCUGUUGUGUUAGGGACAGCAAAAAUGAGGCGUUUGCAUUGUGUUUCCCAGUGCACAGUAUUCCAUUUCCCAGUUUGGAGAGAGAUUUCCAUACUUUCCGAUGUCUCUGUAUGAGAUAGAGACAUUGCAAAUGAAAAUGUCUUUAUGCCAAGUAAUGGUAAAUAAGAAGACUAGAGGAAGUUCUGGGAGAAACAACAGAAGAUGCAAAAGCACAGCAAGGGAUUUAGGAGAAGGACAACAGAAGUGACUGUAUUCUGCACAGUGAAAUUGCUGCUUAGGGUUGGAGGAGCGUUACUUGCCAAUACAAAGAUUUGAAAGCCUUAAGCAUUACAGCUGGAGGAAAUACCAAACCUGAUUUAUCGGCAUGCAAUUAAUGAAGUAAUGUGGUCGAGGAAAAGUGAUACCGAUCAAUGAGCGCUUCCUGACCAUGAGUGCCACUGGAGCAGCAGUGCAAAGAGCCCGUUACCAACACAUCUUAAAACCAGACUGGACAAAGCAUUGAGUGCUGCAGCAGGAAACCAGCCUGCGCUGGUGGGCAAUACAGUAAGCAUGCUGUUUUACAUCCUCAGGCUCCCAGCUAAUUAACGGCUCCUAAAUGACUUGUGUUGAUUCCGCUAGAAAGCGGCGAGGUGGACUGAUCCACUUGAAAGUCUCCUGUAAAUGUGAAACGUUGCUGCAAUCUGAAAGAAGCAAUUUUCAGCCUCCCAAAAUGAGGCUUGCUUGCAGAAAAACCUCUCUGCAGGAGCUGCACCCCUUAGGAGCAGCGGGAGGCACAGCGUGAUGAGCCGGGCCAGGCCCCAUGCUGGGCACCUCCGAGAGAGGAAACAAAUUACCUGUGCUCCGCAUCGUCAUUAUCCCUCACUUGAGAAACCCACUUCUCCCUCCCUCAUCUCCACAGCCCCAGGAAGCACCUGUCAAGUCUGUAUUUCUUAAUUUGGGUUUAUUUUCUCGGUCAUGAAUUUUUAUUUCC